CCUACGGGUGGCUGCAGUGGGGAAUAUUGGGCAAUGGGCGCAAGCCUGACCCAGCAACGCCGCGUGAAGGAAGAAGGCUUUCGGGUUGUAAACUUCUUUUAAGAGGGAAGAGCAGAAGACGGUACCUCUUGAAUAAGCCACGGCUAACUACGUGCCAGCAGCCGCGGUAAUACGUAGGUGGCAAGCGUUGUCCGGAUUUACUGGGUGUAAAGGGCGUGCAGCCGGGAAGACAAGUCAGAUGUGAAAUCCCGCGGCUCAACCGCGGAACUGCAUUUGAAACUGUUUUUCUUGAGUACCGGAGAGGUCAUCGGAAUUCCUUGUGUAGCGGUGAAAUGCGUAGAUAUAAGGAAGAACACCAGUGGCGAAGGCAGCUUACUAAGCCAUAACUGACACUGAAGCACGAAAGCGUGGGGAUCAAACAGGAUUAGAUACCCUAGUAGUC
rnacentral:rRNA from 1 species